rnacentral:rRNA from 1 species
AUCCAGCCUGCCGCGUGAGUGAAGAAGGCCUUCGGGUUGUAAAGCUCUUUCGGCGGGGAAGAAAUGGCAACGGCUAAUAUCCGUUGUUGAUGACGGUACCCGCAUAAGAAGCACCGGCUAACUACGUGCCAGCAGCCGCGGUAAUACGUAGGGUGCGAGCGUUAAUCGGAAUUACUGGGCGUAAAGCGUGCGCAGGCGGUUUCGUAAGACAGACGUGAAAUCCCCGGGCUCAACCUGGGAACUGCGUUUGUGACUGCGAGGCUAGAGUACGGCAGAGGGGGGUAGAAUUCCACGUGUAGCAGUGAAAUGCGUAGAGAUGUGGAGGAAUACCGAUGGCGAAGGCAGCCCCCUGGGUUAGUACUGACGCUCAUGCACGAAAGCGUGGGGAGCAAACAGGAUUAGAUACCCUGGUAGUCCACGCCCUAAACGAUGUCAACUAGGUGUUGGAAGGGUUAAACCUUUUAGUACCGCAGCUAACGCGUGAAGUUGACCGCCUGGGGAGUACGGCCGCAAGGUUAAAACUCAAAGGAAUUUGACGGA